AGAAUCAACGCUGGCGGCGUGCCUAACACAUGCAAGUCGAACGAGAAAGUGGAGCAAUCCAUGAGUAAAGUGGCGACCGGGUGAGUAACACGUGACCAAUCUACCCUUGAGUGGGGGAUAACCUCGGGAAACCGGGGCUAAUACCGCAUAAUAUCCUUGGAACGGAAGUACUGGGGAUCAAAGGAGCAAUUCGCUUAAGGAGGAGGUCGCGGCUGAUUAGCUAGUUGGCGGGGUAAUGGCCCACCAAGGCUUAGAUCGGUAGCCGGCCUGAGAGGGCGCACGGCCACACUGGAACUGAAACACGGUCCAGACUCCUACGGGAGGCAGCAGUGGGGAAUUUUGCGCAAUGGGGGAAACCCUGACGCAGCAACGCCGCGUGGAGGAUGAAGUCCCUUGGGACGUAAACUCCUUUCGAUCCGGACGAUAAUGACGGUACGGGUGGAAGAAGCCCGGCUAACUUCGCGCCAGCAGCCGC
rnacentral:rRNA from 1 species